rnacentral:lncRNA from 1 species
CCAAAAGCAAUGCAAAUCUUUAACCUCAUGAAUUUUCCAAUCAAAGUACAUAUCACAGAGUACAACUGAGGCACAUCAAGCUCGGCACAAAGGAAUAAACCAAGUAAUGUUUAAUAGAUCAGGCUUGAGUAGCACAUAGGGCAGCGAGAUAGUACAAAAUAUUGAAAGCUAAGCAUUUACACAGGGGGCUAGUGACAAUCAGAUAGCAGUCCUUCGCCAAGAAUGGUUGAAGUUCCUCGUCGCUCAAAGAAAAGUUGAGUAACGUUGGCCUGAAAGUGAUGAAAAAACCAUAUUCCUGGAGAGGAUAUCUCAACAUUUUUACAAAAAUUGAUAUCUACAGUGACUAAAAAGGAACUAUCAAGAAGGCAAGAUUAGUAAACUGACAUCAAGCAACUCAUGUAUGUUUCCUUUAAAUUAGUUUGGGGAGUGUGGUAGAAAAUGCAGCCGAAACUACCAAGAGAAUCAAGAUGGUUUAGUACGACAUAACACAAGCAGGCCAUAGUAGUAGUUUGAGCCAAUCUAAGAGCACUAUUUUAAUAUGGCAUAGCAAUAUAAACUUCGUCAAAACAUCUUGGCAUCUGGAUAACUGGUCAUCAGGGCUGAAGCAAAUGAUUCUCGAGUCUCGACGUCAAUCGACCAUCAGUGGUGAGUCUCCUGCAUGAAGAAGGCAUUGUCAUUUAUCAGUAAGAGGUUAGUCAGCAAAUAUGUCACCUAAAGACGUACAGCAUGAAGAAAACGGAUCGAUAUUAGGCGCAUGUAAAAAUGUGUCAAACAGAUAUAAGAACAAAAGACUCUACAUUCUGAAGUAUGACUGGGGCAGUAGGGUUAAAAACAUGACGACAGCUGCGACCAACUCAAUCAGGAAACUAAUACCUAUAAAGGGAAAUGCAGGCAUGUCUCAAUAGAUAUAAACAACAAAGUUUGUUAUCUAUAUUGAAUGAAAUAGAUCAAUGUAAACUCGCCAUGAAAUGAGACCAAAUAUAUGGGGCUCCAUGGGCAAACAACACCUUUAUUGCUUCAUGCUGAACUACUUUAUGUAAGAGAAAAUUUUAAGCUUUAGUGGCAAGCAGGCAGGUGAAGUGUCAUAUUAGUAAAUGUGCAAAAGGUUAUCUAUUGAAUACCAUGUGAAUGGAACAUGUCUGCCUUGCAUACAAUUUGGAGACUAAAGAAGCUCAAACCAAAGCACCAGAUGAAUUUAAAGCAGCAAUUGCGAGAACAAAUACUUGGUCUACAGAAUGUUCCUAGAGCUCCACCACAAAAAUGUGUUGGUCUAUUAUCUCUUCCCCUGGAGCAAAGCAAGAUGGAAAAUGAAGAAUGAAAACAAUGCGUUUAAAUAAGGGACAUGCCAGGAGGGUGGCUCGGUGUGCAAGAAUAUAAAUUCAGUACUUGUCCUCCACCGUUGUCGACGAUGCAGCCACCUCCAUGCGGCCAUUGUGUCACCACAGUUGUUUCUCAAUUAAAAUGUGAACCAUCCAAAGGAAAUUUAUUAUUAAAGCUUGUAGCGAACCACCUGUGUAAGGAAGGUUUCAUUGUUUAUCAAUAAAAAACAAUUUGCAAAGCUUAAUCAGCAAAGUUCGGGAAAGCGCGCUUAAUCGAGCGCUUAUGCGCGCCUACGCGCAAGGCGCUGGCCUACCGCCUCGCAUAGGCCAUGUGCGCUCGUAAAGGCGCGACGCGUGCCUAGGCGGAGCGCUUUUCUCGCUAAGGCGAGCUUAAGCGCGCGGAACAGCGCAGAACGGACGCUUAAUGGCGCAGAACGACGAGAGGGGAUCCAUCGGGGAAUCAGGAUAAAGAGGCAGGGAGCCACGGGAUGAAAGGCAGAGGGUCAAAAUCAAGCCCGUGUUAGGGUUAGGGUCUCCUCUCCUCCAUUCCUCGCGUCGCCGGACUCUCCUUGGGGCCGCCGGCAGCAGCACGCCCUCCGCCGUGGAUCUGAAGCUCCUCCUCGCGCCUCUCCUGCUCGGGCCCUCCCCCGCACCUCCGGUUCCUGGCCUUCGACCUCAUCCCGCCGUGGAUCUCGCGGCCUGGUCUUCUUCUCUUCAGGCAGGUGAGCCCCCAGAUCCCCAUCGAGCCUACCUUCUACUACUAGCUUCUGUCUGUUGCUACUUUGCUGGUGCUACUAGUUGCCGCUGAAGUGAUGUUAGCUGCUGUUGGUGGUAGUUAGUGGUGUUGUUUACUAGUAGAGUAAAAGUAGUAGUACUUGGUGUUGUUGCCUGUUGCUGUUAAUUUGCUGCUGCUAGCUGCUACUGUUGUUUGAUGCUGCUACUACUUGUUUGCUGCUGAUGCUAGCUGAUGCUGAUGCUAGCUGCUGCUGCUACUUGUUUGUUGCUAAUGCUAGCUGCUGCUGCUGUCUGUGGCUACUAGCUGCUAAUUUGUGUUGUUGACUUGUUGUUGUAGGAUGUCAACAUCAGAGAACACCACCGCCGAAACAGAGUCUGAAAGGCCGAUAGCUCUUAAGAGGAAAUCCAAUGAUGUUGGAUGGAACUAUGGGAAACUAUGUGAUGUCACAAACAAGGAGAGGGUGAAGUGUGACUUUUGUGGCCAUAUUAGCACCGGAGGAAUUAACCGUUUCAAGCUACACAUCACAGGCACCACCUCAAGCGUUCUUUCAUGUUUAAGAUCAACUCCGGAGGCUAAAGCAAUAUGCCAGAGAGCACUUGAUGCAUAUGAGGCAAAGAAGGUGGCGAAGAAAAAACAUAUGGCAGAAGUGAGGGCUGAUGUGCAUGUUACAGCCCUAAAUGAAGCAAGGGAUGGUAGAGAAUCUGUUUGUGUUGGAAGCACAUCAUCGGAGCCCAACAAAUUAGGACCAAUGGACAAGUUUGUGCGUCCUAUUGAUGGUAAAUCAAGCAAAGAGGAAGCCUUUUAGCAGCUAAGUAUGAAUGAAGCACUAUUCGAGGAGAGAAGAGGUCAAUGUUCACCAUAUGUUGCUAGAUGGGUGUAUUCACAUGGUAAUUCUGAAGUCCUUCAUUUCUUUGCUUGCUUGUGCUUGAAAUGAUUGCUUGAUUGCAUUGUUUUGUUCCUUUGCUUGUAGGCAUACCAUUUAAUGCUCUUGACAAUGAUGAGUUUUGUCAAAUGUGUGAGGCCAUAGGCAAAUUUGGUCCUGGAUAUGAGCCUCCUACUCAAUAUGAGCUUAGGGAGAAGUUGUUGAGUGAUGAAUAUGCAAGGACCAAGAGUUUGUUAGAUGAACGUGAGAAGGAGAAGAUAAAGCUUAGGUGCACCAUCAUGACAGAUGCAUGGACGGACAUGAAGAGGAGGAGCAUAAUGAAUUUGUGCAUGCAUUGUAGUGGGGGGACAAGUUUUCUCAAAUCAAAGGAAACAUCCGAUGUGUCACAUACAAGUGAAGUCAUAUUUCAGCUAGUGGACAGCACAAUUGAGGAGGUAGGGGCGGAGCAUGUGAUGCAAGUGGUGACUGACAAUGCUUCCAAUAACAUGGGAGCCAAGAAAAUGUUGCUUGAGAAGAGGCCGAAGAUCUUUUGGAGCUCUUGUGCAACUCACACUAUCAACUUGAUGCUCCAAGGAAUUGGCAGCCUCAAGAGAUUCAAAACAAUAAUUGAUCAAGCAAAGAACCUCACCAUCUUCAUCUAUGCGCAUCACAAGACUUUGGCAUUGAUGAGGGUUGCUACAAAAAGGAGAGAUAUCAUAAGGCCGGGGGUGACUAGAUUUGCUUCCACUUUUCUCACAUUGCAAAGUUUGUUGGAGAAGAAAGAUGCUUUAAGGUAUAUGGUGGUUGAAAGAGCUUGGGAAGAUAUGAGUCAUGUGAAAACAAAGAAAGGCAAGGAUGCAACGGCAACGGUGAUGGAUGCUAACUUUUGGAAAGGUGUGCUCCUAUGCAUAAAGGUGUUUGAGCCAUUGGUGAGAGUUCUUCGUUUGGUUGAUUGGGAUAUUAAGCCAUCAAUGGCUUGGUUGUAUGGAGAGUUGGUGAAUGCAAAGAGGGAGAUGAAGGAGGCAUUUAACAACUUGGAGAGAAACUACAAAGAUACUAUGGGCAUUGUUGAAAAGAAAAUGAAUGGAAGGCUAGAUUCUCCACUGCACAUGGCCGCAUAUGUGUUGAACCCACACUACAGUUAUGCAGAUAGCUCCGUCUUUACCACUGCAAAUGAAGGAUUUCAGGAGUGUGUUGAACAAUACUAUGCAAAUGAUCAUGAUACUUGCAUGCUGGUUGUCAAUGACGAGUUUCUGAAAUAUGAAAACAAAGAAGGAACUUUUGGAAAGAAGCUUGCAAAAGCAUGUGAAAAUAAAAGCUACAGCCCCGGCAUACUUGCUUGCUCCUGCCCACUAGUUGCUACUCUUUUCUUGCUGCUACCAUGCUACUGCUGCUCCUACCUUGAUGCUGCUGCUACCAUGCUACUGCUGUUUUUUGCUGCUGCUACCUUGUUGCUGCUGCUACUACUAACUUGCUACUGCUAUAUGUUCUCCGAUUUCUAGUUGGUUGGUGGAAGCUUUAUGGAGGAGAAACACCAAAUUUGAAAGAAAUGGCUAUGAGAAUCCUCUCUCUGACCUCUAGCUCUUCUGGUUGUGAAAGAAACUGGAGUGCAUUUGAAUCGGUAUAUCUCUUCUCUCAAUUUUGUCUCCUCAUUUGUCUUGUCUCUCGUUUUUGUUUUUAAAUAUGCUCAUGCAAAAUGAUGUUUAAUAUGUAGAUACAUACCAAGAGAAGAAAUAGGCUCACAACGGAGCGAUGCAACAAUUUGGUCUUCAUAAGGUUCAAUAAUAGGAUGUUGUCUAGGAAACAAAAGCUCCUAGAGAAGAAGAAAUGGGAUGUGCUCAUUAGCACCGAUGCUACCGAAGCUCAAGGAUUUCUAUUUGAAGGAGGGGAUGAUUAUGCAAGUGUUGUUUAUCUUGAUGAGGAGGAUGGAGAUGUUCAUCCGGGUAUGGGGAUAUCAUGGGAUCUACUUGGUGAAGCAAUGGGAGCACAAGAGCAACUCCAACUUCGGAGGAGUGCAAGAGUGAGAGACCUUGAGGAGGAGUUUGAAUCCGAUCAUGAUGAUGAGAUGGUGGAUGAAGAUGAGAUUGAGUAUGAGGAUGAUUGAGAGGCAUUGAGCAUUUGAGCUAGUGAUCAUUGGCUCAUUGCAUGAUGGUUGGCAGCACCAUGCCAUUAAGUGAUCAAGUUAUCAUGCAUUUGUCUUUUGCUUGUUAUUUGUUAUGUAAGAGACUAUGAUGGAGUAUUCACGGGUGAGACUAUUGUGGAUCAUGGUCGUGGUACUUUGGUUUGGUAGCACUAAGCAAGUUUAAGACUUUUAUUUGUUAUGUAAUAUGCUUGCUUGUGAAGUUGUGAACUUGUGAUAUGUUCUGCCUAUUACAUUGCCUGUUUGCUACUUUGCUAGUUUGCUUUGAUUGCUCAUUCAAGUUGUGAACUUCAGAACUUGUGAUAUGUUCUGCCUAUUACAUUACAUUUUACAUAUAUGAAUGGUGAAUCUGAUAUAUAAUGCUUUGCUUGCUCGGUUGCUCCUUGCUUGUUGGUUGCUGCUGCUAACAUCUUGUCAUCUUCUCUAUGAUGUAUUUAGCUGUUGCACAAUGCAUUGGAGGGAGACGAUCAGAGUAGAACAUACAAAGAGGCAGGGGCAACAUAUUGGAGAGAGAACAAGGUUAUAAACUUAUAAUUGUACCUCCAGUUUACAUUCUAGCACUUUUUUAUGUCAAACUGCUCUUUUUUGCCCAUAUCCGUACAAUUAUAUAGAAAACGCAUAAUUGCGCCUAAUCACGCCUAAUCACGCCUAAGCUAGAAAAGCGCAAGUAGGUGGCCAAACGCAUAAUUAACGCCUAGCGCUUUCUCAAACUUUGUUAAUCAGACACACAAAGUUAAAUUGCAGAGCAGAAAAUAUUAAGGAACUAAAUGGCACAUGCUAGGAAAAUAGGAAGGCACAUCAAGGAGGUAUAUAUCAUAAUUAAUAGGGAGAGUAUUUUUUUCAAAGUAGAGAGAGGGGUCCUUCAUUACAAUUGUUCAUUCAAUUCUUGGAUCGUUUGAGCAAACAAAUCUGAUGAAACAAUACAAUAAUAUUAACAUGUAUACUCACAUUAUAUCCUCUUAUGAACAUUUACUCGGACAUUAACUCUCAUGAUUAUUUGAGUAAACAUAUAUAACAUCAGCGACCAAAGAGACGUGCACCUUAUAGAAUGCAUGUCGUGUAGGCAAACAAACCAAACAGAUACAUUACUUAUACUUAGGACAGUAAAUUUGCGUGCUUUGGUCGUCACUGAUUCCAUACAUAUAAAUCAAAAAAGGAAUAAUGCCACUGUUUGACGUUUGGUAUGAAAGGUGAACAGGGAAGCAUUCUCUUCAGGUAACCGGUGGUCUAACUGAACAAUUUUACGAAGUGGGGAAUUGAGGAACCAAUCCUUUGGUUCAGAAUCAUCUCUUACUAUUUUAGUCAAGGCACAUAGAGAACUAAAAUGCAGCUAUCAUUAAAUUCCCCACCAGCCACAAUGGCAACUACAGUUGGCCGUCUAUAUGAACCAGUUAUAAUCACUAAAAUAUCAUGGAUCCACAACAAACCAAGAAAGAGAUACCUCCAAAUGGAGGAGGCAAUCUCAACAAGACAGUUCGAAGGAAAUAACACAUCAAUACUACUAAGAAAACGAAGAUUGGUAGCUGCAGUGCAUGUAUUACAGUAGUACAUUGAGCACCUGAGACAGUAGCCGAAUCCGAAGGAGAAGUAGCCACACACCCAGCAACGACCCUGGCACCAAACUCUAACCUGGCAGUACUAUAAAACACAUUGACACUCAAUUCACAGCACAUAAAUAAUUAAUACAUAGUCACAAGUCAAAGAUAUAUUUCAAUGUUACCAAAGCCAUUUUCAGAAGCAAAUACCAGCACUUUAAGUAUACUGGAACAAAAAUAAACCAAAACUAAAAAAACUACUAACUAAUGUGGUCGAAAAACACCGGAUACUGAUCUAUGAAAUGUACCAACCUUAUUUUACUAAAUCUUCCACUACCAGAUGUGAUGUUAAAUAUCAAUUGAUAAUUACUAAUUUGUAUCUGCAAAGUAUCAUGAUAAAAAUGAAAUACCAGAUCAGUUAGAGAACACAAUUAUGCAAAAUACUGAUAAGAAAUCUGUAAAUAUUUGUGAUCGGUGUAUUUUUAAAAUAAAGCAAAUGCACCAUCUUAUCUUUCUUAUGUAGGUCAUGCCAGUUUUAAGCGAACUCUUUGACAUUUUCCAUAUAAAAAAAUGUAAGUGCAACCUUUCUAUACGACUGGCCAAUGUAAAAAGCGGUCAAUAAUCAAGAAGUAAUGAAACAUCGGUCAUUUCAGUUCACAACCAUAUGGCAUGGCACUAAUAGAAAUGGAGAUAGGUAACUGUUUCAAUGCCACCAUACCUUCAGAUUUCGGAGUUAUAGGGAACAUCCUACAGGGAUAAAUAUAGCCUCAUAAAAAGAACAUCCAGUCUUUACUUAGGGUAGAUUAAUCCCCAUUUGUAUUGUUAAUUGCAUGUAUUCUUCCUUUGUCUUCCUCUUGUGCUCAUUCACAGAUAAGCGCAUUGAUCAUGUAGAAUUUGUAAUGAUGUGCAACCUGCCAGCAUGCAACAAUUAUAUCAGCAUUAGAAAGUCAGG